UCACUCAUUUCUCUAUCGGAAUCGGAGCUGAGAACUGUGAUUUUUUGUGUGAUCGUUUGAAGAAUUUCCUGAAUAGUUUUUGGUUAAUUUGUUAAUAGCUUCUAAAGUAAAUUGAGCACGAUGUCGCUAAAUCCCCAGUACGAAGAUAUUGGCAAGGGCUUCGUCCAGCAGUACUAUGCCCUGUUCGACGACCCGGCAAACCGUGCAAGCGUGGUCAAUUUCUACAGCGCAACAGAAUCCUUUAUGACCUUCGAGGGCCAUCAGAUACAGGGAGCUCCUAAAAUAUUAGAAAAGAUUCAGAGCCUGAGUUUUCAAAAGAUUACAAGAGUAAUAACCGCUGUCGACUCGCAGCCCACCUUCGAUGGAGGAGUUCUCAUCAAUGUCCUGGGACGUCUGCAGACCGACGAGGACCAGCCGCAUGCCUACAUACAGACCUUUGUGCUGAAGCCCGUCGGCGGUAGUUUCUUUGUGCAGCACGAUAUCUUUCGGCUAUCGCUGCACGAUGUGUAGCCCCCCGGGCAGUCGUCCUCCUCUUCCCUCCACCACCACCAACAAGAGAGCAAUCGGGCACGAGGCAGGCCAAUGCGACGACGAUCCCCCGCAUGCCUUCUCGCAGGUCUUUAUGCUGAAGGCCAAUGCAAACUCGUUCUUUGUGGCCCACGACAUUUUCCGU
rnacentral:misc_RNA from 1 species